AUUGAACGCUGGCGGCAUGCCUUACACAUGCAAGUCGAACGGCAGCAUGAUCUAGCUUGCUAGAUUGAUGGCGAGUGGCGAACGGGUGAGUAAUACAUCGGAACGUGCCCUGUAGUGGGGGGUAACUAGUCGAAAGAUUAGCUAAUACCGCAUACGACCUGAGGGUGAAAGUGGGGGACCGCAAGGCCUCAUGCUAUAGGAGCGGCCGAUGUCUGAUUAGCUAGUUGGUGAGGUAAAGGCUCACCAAGGCGACGAUCAGUAGCUGGUCUGAGAGGACGAUCAGCCACACUGGGACUGAGACACGGCCCAGACUCCUACGGGAGGCAGCAGUGGGGAAUUUUGGACAAUGGGCGAAAGCCUUAUCCAGCAAUGCCGCGUGUGUGAAGAAGGCCUUCGGGUUGUAAAGCACUUUUGUCCGGAAAGAAAUGGCUCUGGUUAAUACCUGGGGUCGAUGACGGUACCGGAAGAAUAAGGACCGGCUAACUACGUG
rnacentral:rRNA from 1 species